AGUGAACGCUGGCGGUAGGCCUAACACACGCAAGUCGAACGGCAGCACAGUAAGAGCUUGCUCUUACGGGUGGCGAGUGGCGGACGGGUGAGGAAUACAUCGGAAUCUACUUUUUCGUGGGGGAUAACGUAGGGAAACUUACGCUAAUACCGCAUACGACCUACGGGUGAAAGCAGGGGAUCUUCGGACCUUGCGCGAUUGAAUGAGCCGAUGUCGGAUUAGCUAGUUGGCGGGGUAAAGGCCCACCAAGGCGACGAUCCGUAGCUGGUCUGAGAGGAUGAUCAGCCACACUGGAACUGAGACACGGUCCAGACUCCUACGGGAGGCAGCAGUGGGGAAUAUUGGACAAUGGGCGCAAGCCUGAUCCAGCCAUACCGCGUGGGUGAAGAAGGCCUUCGGGUUGUAAAGCCCUUUUGUUGGGAAAGAAAAGCAGCAGGUUAAUACCCCACUGUUCUGACGGUACCCAAAGAAUAAGCACCGGCUAACUUCGUG
rnacentral:rRNA from 1 species